rnacentral:lncRNA from 1 species
GUGCCUAAUGCAAGACUCCAUCUUUAUACUCUAUGUUAAUAAUAAUUUGCUGCUUCUGUCCCGAAACUAGACAUGGGCAUUCAUCUUGAUUUUAAUAUCCAACGGCCGACAUUGCAGUAGCAUUGUAUAGAGCUGUUGCUGAAUGUAUCUAAAAAUCGAUGCAAUACAAUAUGUGUCAAAAGUUUACCAUUGUCAUGACAAACGAGUUCCCGUCAAAUGAAAGUCAUUUGUAAAUACAUAUAAUGUUUUGUUAUAGCCUACAAUCAAACGUUAAAUGUAGUGGCAAAAAUUGCAUAUUAAUUUUCAGAAAACAAAAUUUGUUACAAGAGAAAAGAAAAAAAAGAAAAAAAAAAAAGAAAACAACAAGCAGCAUCCAAAUAUGUUAGAAUUUGUUUUGAUCAAGUUCAAUGAAUGGAUUUCAAUCCAACAAUAGCCAUUUCCACAACAAUUAAUAUGACCACAUUCAGUAAAUAGGUUUGACUUAACUUUCUGUCACAUGGGCUUUGAAUUUCUACACAAAUAAUGAGUUUUCAGUAACUUGUCCAGUUGUUUAGAUAUUCAAAACCAGAGAAGAGAGAGUGAAGAUGCUACUGAUUUAAUGGUUUUUCCAAUUUCUAGCGUGUGAAAAGAUAAAAGCAGAGCACCAAAAUAAAUGAGAAACAUAGAUAUGCCUUAAAAUUCUUGAACUUUUUGUAUAACAAGCCAUGGAAAGACAAAUAUCACGCUUACGAAGAUAAACGAUAACAGUUUUGUGGAACCGAGAGAGUGUGCACUUGAAUCAAUGAUGAAAAGAAAUAGGACACCGAAAAGCUCUUAGCCAGACUUGAUCACGAGGAUAGGCGUCGUGUCCAGAUGUCAUCACAAAUUAAUCAUCUCUAUUCCGAGAAAACAUAGCCGAAUAACCCAAGACAUUAUAAGGAAUUUGUUUAUGGCAUGACAUUUCCAAAUAUCAUUUCAGUUGUCGUCGUUGCUUUUUCUGAGUUCCAAUCAACUGGUGGAAGAUGGGCCCAGAAUGGCAUGUUCUAGAGUGGUGAUUUCGCACCUGAAGAGGUACUUCUGGCGGUCUCCAUCUUCUAGCAAUGAUAAUGUGAUUAAACCAGAUGCAGAACAACAAAUUUGGCUGAUAACACCUUAAAAACAGAUGCUAUGUUUGAUAAACUCGUAUAAAUGAAUUAUUAAAGAAAAGAAAGGAAGGUAAGCAAGGUUUGGAAAUAGUUUUCAACCUAAAAAAGACACCUCAGUUAGAACCUUAUUAGCUGCAAACAUUGCCAGAAAUCUCUCAGGUGGCAGUUAUUGGUUCAACACCCAACUCUAUAUAUAUAUAUAUAUAUAUAUAUAUAUAUAUAUAUAUAUAUAGAAAGAAAGCAAGCAAGCUGCCCAUAAAUAUUUAGGAUAACAAUAUUGCCACAAAUUGUAUUAAUUUAGGCACUUCGCUAUUUCAUCCCUACUCGUGUUAAGUCCUACUACACAAAUGAAAGGAAGUGGAUGGAAAGACGGCACCAGAAUACCCUGGAUGAUUUUCCUAAUUCAGCAGCUAUUUUAAUGUGGCUCUGUUCUGGAUGACACAUUGAUCCUACCUAAACGUUAAGUGCAGGGCCACAUCCUUUUCUGAGUUGCUCCAGCCAGGUGAAAACAAGGUUUCAAAGUGAAUAAGCAGCAAGGUCACCUUUCUAUGACCCUGAUUUCUGACAGUCUGGCCUACUCCAAUCUAAUAAAAUAGUCAGGUAUGUACGCAAAAUAGGAAAAUGAAAGAGCAAUAUAGGGCUUGCCAAAGCCCAAGCUGAAUUUGUUUGUUUAUAUUGGAUUAGAAACAAAAAUGGACUGUAAAUUAGCUUAUAGCAUUGUGAUACUACAAGAUAUGGACUUCAACACACCCAGAACAUGUCAAGUGAAACUUAAAACCACAAAUUAUUAAAUUAAUGGAUCCACAUGAUACCAGGUUUAGAUAUAAAUUAAUGCUAAAAAAAUUUGCAGUUUCAACAACUUAUGAGCAUCUUAACUGAAAUUUUGAGAAAAGAGGAAAAAGAAGUAAGAUGAUAAAAGAAUUGACAAGAAAAAAUAAUAACUGUUAGGACAAAGAAACAGAAAGGACAUAUUUAUUGUUUCCAUUUAUAAAAUCUGCAGAAUGUAUGAACUAUUUUUUAUCAUACAUUAGUGAAUGUCAAGUACCAUAGAAUCCUGAUGCUUGAGCCUAUCUUGUGUACCUCUUCUCUGUAUGCAACUCAACUCACCUAAGCCCUUAAUUU